AACACCCAUUUAAAGAUUUAUUGGUAAACGAUGGGGAUGCGUUCCCAUUAGGUAGUAGGCGGGGUAACGGCCCACCUAGCCUGCGAUGGAUAGGGGUUCUGAGAGGAAGGUCCCCCACAUUGGAACUGAGACACGGUCCAAACUCCUACGGGAGGCAGCAGUGAGGAAUAUUGGUCAAUGGGCGAGAGCCUGAACCAGCCAAGUAGCGUGAAGGAUGAAGGUCCUACGGAUUGUAAACUUCUUUAUACGGGAAUAAAGUUUCCUACGUGUAGGAUUUUGUAUGUACCGUAUGAAUAAGCAUCGGCUAACUCCGUG
rnacentral:rRNA from 1 species